AUUGAACGCUGGCGGCAGGCCUAACACAUGCAAGUCGAGCGGAGCGGCGGCCGGGUGAGUAAUGCCUAGGAAUCUGCCUUGUAUUGGGGGAUAACGUCCGGAAACGGGCGCUAAUCUCGCAUACUAUCAGCUUAGCCUAGGUCGGGUUAGCUAGUUGGUUGGGUAAAGGCCUACCAAGGCGACGAACCGUAACUGGUCUGAGAGGAGGAUUAGUAACACUGGAACGGAGAAACGGUCCAGACUCCUACGGGAGGCAGCAGUGGGGAAUAUUGGACAAUGGGCGAAAGCCUGAUCCAGACAUGCCGCGUGUGGGAAGAAGGUCUUCGGAUUGUAAAGCACUUUAAGUUGGGAGGCGUUACCAACAGAGUAAGCACCGGCUAACUUCGUGCCAGCAGCCGCGGUAAUUC
rnacentral:rRNA from 1 species